AUUGAACGCUGGCGGCAGGCCUAACACAUGCAAGUCGAGCGGGAACUUCGGUUCUAGCGGCGGACGGGUGAGUAAUGCGUAGGAAGCUACCCGACAGAGGGGGAUACCAGUUGGAAACGACUGUUAAUACCGCAUAAUGUCUACGGACCAAAGUGUGGGACCUUCGGGCCACAUGCUGUCGGAUGCGCCUACGUGGGAUUAGCUAGUUGGUGAGGUAAUGGCUCACCAAGGCGACGAUCCCUAGCUGGUUUGAGAGGAUGAUCAGCCACACUGGAACUGAGACACGGUCCAGACUCCUACGGGAGGCAGCAGUGGGGAAUAUUGGACAAUGGGCGCAAGCCUGAUCCAGCCAUGCCGCGUGUGUGAAGAAGGCCUUCGGGUUGUAAAGCACUUUCAGUAGGGAGGAAGAGUUGAGUGUUAAUAGUACUCAGCUUUGACGUUACCUACAGAAGAAGCACCGGCUAACUCUGUGCCAGCAGCCGCCGUAAAAC
rnacentral:rRNA from 1 species